UUUGCGUCGGCAGCACAUAACACUAAAAUUAGAACCAUGCAGAGAAGAUUAGCCUGGCCGCAGCUCAAGGCUGACACACAGAGAAGUGGAGUGUUCCACAUUAAA
ensembl:snRNA U6 U6 spliceosomal RNA